UGUGGCGUCAUUCCUAUCACCUUGAUACUUAUGGUUCCUAGUUCUUAUAACUAGCGGGUCAAAGUCCGAAUUACCAUCCCUUAUCGAAGCAAUAUAAAUUUGGGUCGUUGUUCUAUAACAUCGGUUCUUCUUUGAGUCUUGUUUAAGAUACUAUCGUUUUUACCAUUCCAUAUUUCAUUAUCCAUAUUAUUACCACAACCGAGUCUUCCGCUACCAUUUCUUAAACCGACCAUAUACCAUCACCUUUACCACCGUAAAUUAUCCGUUUCUUAUGUUUAUCUUAUGCAGGUUGGUUCGCUUCCUUCCUAGAUCCAUAAUCGAUCGUCGAGGCCCGACGUGAUCGCGUCAUUUGGUAUCAGAGCUAGUUGGAAGAAGCACCAUACAUCAAGCGAGAUUAUCGUAUCAUGCGAUAAUCAGAGUUUUGGUGGAAGAAGCAACGCACAACGAAAAUACAAAAAAAAUACAAAAAAAGUGCAACUCUCUUGUGCAAGAAAAGGAAAUCGAAAAUUACAAGUUGCAAGUGAAAAAAAUCGAAAAUCAGCAAAAGAAAGAAAAGUCGAAGCAUUCAUCAACAAGUUUAUCACCGAGCCAUUCAAAGAAAGCCUUUGAUUGAUUGUGGUGAUAGAAAGGUUGUGAAGUAACGUGUUACACAAGACCAAAUGAUUAUACAGGAGAUAACGAACGAGAUUUUUUAUCAAAUUCUCAAUUUCAAGAUUUCAGUCGAGAAUUGAGGAGUUUGCUCAAAGAAAAUCUCAACCCAAUCAUAAAGACGAUGGAUCGUAUAAUCGAAAAACGUUCUUGUUCACAAACACCUCCGCCGAAGAUCAAAGGCGAAAUCAAGAGGAGAGACGACACUCAAUCCUGUUCUAGUUCUAUACGCAAUUGUAGCAGAAGAUCUUACCAGGAGGAUUCCAAUUUUCUAACAAGAAGCAAUGUUAAAAUUUCAACGAGAAGAGAGCCAAGGAAUUUUGCAUGUUUUAAUCCCGAAAGUCUAGCUUGUCUUCAAAAGUGUGUUGACAAUUUCGUCAAAGAAACACAAUUGCAAGAACAACUACAAAAAGAAAGUGUUUGAAAAAAAGAAGAAGAAGUAAAAGUUGAAACCGACAUUGAGAGCAAUAAAAAAAUUGAUGAGAGAAAUGUUGGAGUCCAAAGUGAGAACGAGAGUGAAAAUAAAGAGCUUGAAAAAGAAAUUGUUUGUGCAAAAGAAAAAGAGUGUCAAAUUUCAAUUUGCACUAACACCCUUAACAAUUCUUCUUCUAUUCUUGAAUUUUCAUUGUUGCAGGAUGACGUGAGGAGUACCUCCAGAAACAUGUCAAACACAUUGAUGAUCGAGCAUCGUCAUGUUUCAAAGAAGGAAGUUGUACCCAAUGAUAUCAUUAAGCUUCAUCCAAGGUUUGCUCUUUCCAAACCUUUUGUUAUUGAUUUACCUACUAACUUUUAUUUACCAUUUGGAGGGACGAUUCAAAAACGUGGAAUUGAUGUAUUGAGUUGCGAAGAUAAGUUUCUUUGAAAUCUUGAUAAGAAAUUACCACUCUCCAAUUUGCAAAUAAAUGUUGUGAAAGAAAAGCUAUCAAUCCACCCUCAUGAUGAUUCAAGGAAAUAUAAAGUUACCAAAUACGAAGUCAAGGGGUUGACCAUUGGAGGAAGGUAUGAGGAUUCAAUCCAUCCUACAUCAAGAAGGUCUUCAAUGAGAAAUCAUUUCGAUUUGAGGACAAAUCGCCAAAAAGAAAGGGAGGAUGAUGUGAGCACGUUUAGCAUCGGCUUUCUCCGUGAAAUAAACACUUCAAGGAUGUUCUACCUUGAUUACUCUAAGGGAGGAACACAAAGCUCAUGCUCCAUACUGGACGGUUUUUGAGGAGUUCUUUAACUUAUUUUCAUGGCACAAGACACGGCAAUAAUGGUAUUAGAAUAUGGAACAAUUUGAACAGCAUUUUAGAAGCAUUGUCAAAGCAUUUCCACGAUUAAUAGAUGAUGGAGUAAGGAGUAUUAAAUGGCAGCAUGAUAAGCACUAAAGGGGACAUGAAUAAAAUGCCCAUGAUGGACGGUUUUAAGGAGCAUUAUCCAGAUUCCUACCAGCUCAUAAAACACGUAUGAAAGCUAGAAAAGGGGGCACACGUUUUGGAAGCUUUUUGAGGAUUAAAGAAAACAA